GAUGAACGCUGACAGAAUGCUUAACACAUGCAAGUCUUUGGCGAAGCUGUGCUUGCACAGCCUAGCCAAGGCGGACGGGUGAGUAACGCGUAAGGGACUUGCCCUGCAGUCAGGGAUAACAGACGGAAACGACUGAUAAAACCUGGUAAAGUCAGGCGGACUCAUGUCCAGCCUGAUGAAAAGGAAUGCUGCAGGAGAGCCUUGCGUCCUAUUAGCUCGUUGGUGGGGUAACGGCCCACCAAGGCGAUGAUAGGUAGCCGGCCUGAGAGGGUGGACGGCCACAAGGGGACUGAGAUACGGCCCUUACUCCUACGGGAGGCAGCAGUGGGGAAUAUUGGACAAUGGGGGCAACCCUGAUCCAGCAAUUCUGUGUGCACGAUGAAGGUCUUCGGAUUGUAAAGUGCUUUCAGCAGGGAAGAAAAAAAUGACGGUACCUGCAGAAGAAGCGACGGCUAAAUACGUGCCAGCAGCCGCGGUAAUACGUAUGUCGCGAGCGUUAUCCGGAAUUAUUGGGCAUAAAGGGCAUCUAGGCGGCCGGAUAAGUCUGGGGUGAAAACUUGCGGCUCAACCGCAAGCCUGCCCUGGAAACUAUGCGGCUAGAGUACUGGAGAGGUGGACGGGACUGCACGAGUAGAGGUGAAAUUCGUAGAUAUGUGCAGGAAUGCCGAUGAUGAAGAUAGUUCACUGGACGGUAACUGACGCUGAAGUGCGAAAGCUAGGGGAGCAAACAGG
rnacentral:rRNA from 1 species